UGAAUUUUGACGUAAUUUCUCUUGAUGUAGCUAGCAGGUGGCAGAGGUGUAUUUGAAAGUCAGCAGCAUUGUGACAGCGAUUAGAAUAUCCUCCGUCUGCCAGUCUUCUUGAUUCUUAGAUUCUCUUGGCAAGACGUUCGGUGUUUUUAAGUCCUCCGAACGGGACUCUCCUCUUUCUCAAUUAUCCUGAGGUUCGUUGGGUGGCGUAGUCGGUACUUCCGGCAGCGCCUCCUCUUCAUGUAUAGUUAUCUUCAUUUUCCACACCUGACUUGGUGCUUCGGCCUCCUCUUGGAUAAUUCUGUUUAAACUCAACGUCUUCUGAUCUUACAACUUUUCCUUCGUAGUCUGCCCAUCCGUCCUUGAUGAUUUUCCUCCUCUGGUUGCGGUUGCGUCGUCUUCUUCUUGUCCUGACCUGCUUAGAAUCUUCAACUAUGUAGUUAGAAUCAUUAAAGUAAUGGCGUACCUUCUCAGAGGGGAAAUACACGUGGACUUCUCCGGUUCCAAUGUAGAUGAUAACUUGGAUAGUGUUGAGGAAUGGUCUUCCAAGGAUGAUGGGUGGAUCGUACUCGUCUUCUCCCAUAUCAAUGUUCUGAAAAUCAUUUGGAGCUAAAUAUAUAUUGGUUGUAGGGGCAUGGUUCCAUGCAGGAGCUGAUAAGUGACUGCGGCCAUUAUGUUGACGUUAGAUCCGGUGUCGUAGAGUGUUUUCUAAAAAGAGUAUCUAUUGGUUGUGCACUCGAUGAUUGGAACACCAGGGUCGUCCUUCUUGAUCAAGAAAGGUGACUUGAGUCGACGAUCUUGACCUCCUUGAGCUGUAGUGACCAUCUUAGCUGACUCGGUCCACAUUUGCUUGUUCCUGUUCCUCCUGUUGGUCCUCUUCCUUGGUUCAUGUCGGGAUUGCUCUGAAGUUUAUGUAGUCUUGUUCUUGAAGGAAAGUCUCCUUCUUCCCCUUGAUGUAGAGAUUGAUCUUGGUAGCAUUAGCGUAGAUGACAACUCUGGUGUUUAGGAAUGGCCUCCCUAAGAUGAUGGGUGCCCUCUCCUCAGUACCAGUCUCUACCACCACGAAGUUUGCUGGAGCGUACAAGGUACCAACUUGGACACAGAGGUUCUUUAAUAUUUCCUUUGGGAAACUAAGAGUCUGAUCUCCAUUGUGUUUGUGCUCGUAGAUCCCGGUUCUUCACUUAAUGGAAUCUGGGAGUUGUAAAACGCCUUCACGUUUCUCAAAAUGUGUCCUGCUCAUAGAGACAAGGCAGAGAUCAAGUGCAUGGGCUCUAUUGGUGGAAAACACCAACAGAACCAAAAGUGUAUUUGUUCUUUUCUAACCUUAAGCAUAGUGAGCAAGACAAAGUUGAUGAAUCAUGAGUGUAGCAUUUAAAACAUUUGUUAGAUCAGAUGGCUCAACCUAAUGGAAAGAUAAUCUAUCUAUAUUUAUGUUUUGUUUUUAUCUUCCAAAGAUUGAAUGUGCAACAUAUUAGCUUAUAUGUUUAGGAGCGUGGGAUUACGAAGGUAGUACUAAGAACAAAGAUUAAGGGACUAAACAUGUUGAAUCAGUUAGGUUGGUUAAUUUAGAGUUAUAAAUCAUACAUGUUUGUCUCUUUAUUUAUGUGAAUGCCAGAACCAAGGAGAAACUUAUAAAAGGAUAGUCAAGUACCUUAAGAUGUUACCUUUGAAGAGUGAUGGUACAGUAUCACCUUGAAGCUUUCCUUUCUAGCGGUUGUGCAUCGUGUUUGUGGCUCCCUCCAUGGAUCAUCUCUUAUGAGCUACGUCUUUCUUGUGCAAAUUGUUAAACUUCAUGUGUCACUUUCUUUAUCUCCAUUGUGAGUUUAUCUCAGGACUUCCCAGGUUGAUAUUGAAAGUUUUCCUGCAGGGGUUAGUCGCACAAAAUAUACCAAUGUCUACACAAGCAAUUUUUAGUUCGAUAACCGAACUAGACUCCAUGUCUAAUCAGAUUAAGGAAGGCUGUUUAACCUAAGCACCAUGCUUAAUUUGAAAGCCAAUAGAAGUAUGUGCAGUACUUCCAAACUAACACUUACUAGGAUAAACAAAGGUAGCGUGAUGGCAUUUAUAGAGAUCUACUUAAGUGGAGAUUUCGUAGUGUGAUUAGUAUUUAACAAAUUGAGCAUGUCUCAAAGGUAAGGACAACCAACAUAGCAACAUGGCAAAGGAUGUUUUUAUGUGAAGUACUCCCCUAAGCUUGAAUUUUGCAAAAUUCAAGAUUGGAUGAAUUUAAUUCAAUGUUGCAUGUUGAUUGGUUGGGCAUACCUUGCGCUUGUCAUUCAUCCGGUCUUCUUGCUCCAAUCCUAGAAAGGUUAGUGACAAGAAUACCCGAAGGAAUAUUUCUACAAUUAUCUAUAUGCUCAAUACACAAGGUAAUGUUGCAAGUAAUUUAGAAGUUCUUGUUACGAUCUGAUAAGUGCUUGUUUUAGGACACUAAGCUUGUCCUUGGGAAACCAUCAAUUAACUCGACGAGAUCUGCAAUAUUUAUUAUAAACAUAUGCAUCGACAACCGCUCUUUUAAAGUUUUUAUAAAUAGAAAAGAAAAGAGGGUUGGAGAUCUCAAAUGUGGUGAUAGCACAUGAAUUUUUAAUGCCCUCUAGCCAUUAAUGUUGCUCUUCUCGAUCCUCCUUAUGCAUGGGAUGUCUAGAGAGAUUCAUAGGAUUAUCGGGAGGUUCAAGAGAAAGAGCAUAGUAGAGAUUAUUAGGCUCAAGGAUGGGUUGGAUAGCCGAAUCAUGGGAUUGGAAAGUUUGGAAAUCGGCUAUUGAAACUUCCUCUCCUUGUAUGGGAGAUGAUUCCUUCUCUAUCUCUAUGAUUUUUCUAUGAAGACUAGUACAAGAAGGAUGUCCACGAAUGAAGACAUACCUUCCGUUACUAACUGAUAAAGAAAGAAAGACUCUACCAAAGGUUAUAUGAUUAAGACCAAUGUGAAAAUAUCUAGGAAAAACAUGGUCUUGUAGGGCUAGGUCUAAACCAGAAUUUAUAGAAAAAUUAAAAGAUUCCCUAGGUGUAGCUAAAAGUGCAUUAUCUUUUUGAUUAAAAGAUAGGACCUCAGCUAUAGAAAAGGGUUGGUUUUGACCUAUUGCAAUCAACUCCGGACACAGAUCAUAACUAGGGGCAGGACGUGUUGACUCUCAUGGUCUAUGGCUGGUCUCCGAAGGUGCAAAGAAUUUAAUAAUAGUUAUGGAAUUUAAGAUAUCCAUAAAGAUAAAAAGAUAAAAGAAUAAAAGUAUAAAAGUAUAAUACAAGAUAAUAGCAAGACUCAAAGUUAUCUCAGCAAACCGUCUUUCUCCCCGGCAACGGCGCCAGAAAUGCUUGUUGAUAUUUGGUAACGCAAUAAGGAAAUGAUCCGCAAGCGCACGGAUAUCGGUGAGCAUUUCACCCGGGUGGUUAUCCAGAGUUAUCGUAUUUAUAUUUUUACCACUGGGAGAAAGGGUGCAUCUGACUAACCAAAUCUAUUGCUACUAUCCCUUUAGGCACAAAGAAUGUCUUUCAAUGUGAGUGAUAAAUAGAGAAGACUGCAGCCGUAGUCUCCUUCUAACCUUGGUAAGGAUGAUCUACUGUUCUAAUGGGGAGGCUAACGGAAUCUAGACACCACAAAGGAUGUUCAACCCGCACCUAUAAACCCUAUCCUUCCUGCUAACGAGAUGUGAUCUACAAAGGUAGCUCGGAAAUGUCACGUUCCUCACUACUACCACGGUCCAGCUAGUCAGGGAAUAUCUAUGAGUACCCCAGCCUAAACACCACGUUUACGCCAGCAAUGAUUACUCUAAACUCUACGCGAAGAGAUUAAAGUAAACUCAUAAACCAUAAGAACAAUAAAACAAGAACUUACUAGAAUUUAGAAGUCGAAUUACUGAAGAAUCCUAGGAGCAAGCUUCGGGUUAGGAGAACUUGAUCCCGCAGGUACAAGCUUGGAGUAGACACCGACAGGCCGGGCUUCCUCCACUCUACACCUCCACUCUAUCUCUCUCAAUCUAGUAGAAACUAGAAGAUCUAUUUCUACCUUACAUUGAUUGCUAAGCCUAAAAAGAAAUAUUAAUUAGAGAAGAGGUUUUCCCUCGAGGGCACCCCUCAGUCUCUAUGAUAAUUUCUUCAUGUCUUCUCCAGGGGCCAGGGGGGCCUUGCUUAUAUAGUCCUCCCCUUCUAUGCGUUUUUGGGUCGAUAGGCGAGGUGGUACUAUGUUUUUCUUGAUCCAAUAGGUCGGUGGAAUAUCCCGAGCGAAGGAGUCCUGAAUUGACUCCAGCAGGGGGGCGGGCGCCCAGGCUACCAGGGCGGGCGCCCUGGGCCUGGCCCAGCUUCGCCUCCGCUUCGGUCUCGUGGCUUCUGGAGUCUUCUAGAUGAUGUAAAAUUACGCGGUGCGUUGAUAUCUCUAUGUAAUCCCGACAUGUGGGCCUUUCUUUCUUAUUUCCUGAUAACCCCCUGCAGAAAUAGAUAAACAACAAAACUCGUGGAAUUCUGUCAGAUCAAACCCUAAUUCUAGGUGAUGGUUGCAUAUUGGUCCUUUCUCAUGUUUAUUUGAUAAUUAAAAUUGAUACUUAAGAACCAUCAACAACUACCACCCCGACAAGGUAGUCGCCCCUGGCGUCUACCCGCUCGUCGUCGACCCCAUCAUCGUCAACGCCAGGCUCUCAAAGGUGUUGAUGGACGGCGGCAGCAGCCUCAACAUCAUCUACCUCGAGACCCUCGACCUCCUCAGCAUCAAAAGGUCGCAGCUCCAACCAAGCACUGGAGGCUUCCACGGCGUCGUUCCUGGGAAGAUGGCGUUACAGGUAGGUCGAAUCGACCUACCGGUCUGCUUUGGCAUGGCGGCCAAUUUUAGGAAGGAGAUCCUCACCUUUGAGGUGGUGGGGUUCCGAGGCACAUACCACGCCAUUAUCGGACGCCCUGGCUUCGCCAAAUUCAUGGCGAUUCCCAACUACACGUACCUAAAGCUGAAGAUGCCCGGGCCCAAGGGCGUCAUCACCGUCAGCUCCUCCUACGAGCAAGCGUAAGAGUGCGACGUCGAAUGCGUCGAGUACGGCGAAGCACUCGAGGGUUCCGCCGAGCUCGCCUCAAAGCUCAAGGCCCUGGCUGCAGAGGCCCCAGAGCCCAAACACCAUGCGGGCAGCUUCGAGCUGGCAGAAGGAACCAAGAAGAUCCCGCUCGACCCCAACAACUCCCACGGUAAGGCGCUGACGAUCAGCGCCGACCUCGACCCCAAAUAGGAAGCUGUGCUCGUCGACUUUCUCCGUGCAAACACUGACAUGUUUGCAUGGAGUCCCUCGGACAUGCCUGGCAUACCGAGGGAAGUCGUCAAGCACUCCUUGGAAAUUCGAGCCGGUUCCAAGCCAGUGAAGCAACGGUUGCACCGAUUCGACGAGGAGAAGCGCAAGAUCAUUGGCGAGGAGAUCCAAAAGCUUUUGAUGGCCAGAUUCAUCAAGGAUUUUCACCAUCCCGUCUGGUUAGCAAACCCUGUACUAGUUAAGAAUAAGAAUGGAAAAAUGAGGAUGUGUGUCGAUUAUACAAGUUUAAAUAAAGCAUGUCCGAAAGUUCCUUUUCCAUUACCACGUAUUGAUCAAAUUGUCGAUUCUACUGCGGGAUGUGAAACCCUUUCUUUCCUCGAUGCAUAUUAUGGCUACCACCAAAUAAAAAUGAAAGAGUCCGAUCAGCUCGCGACAUCUUUCAUCACACCUUUCGGGAUGUAUUGUUAUGUAACCAUGCCGUUCGGGCUUCGAAACGCGGGGGCUACGUUCCAGCGAUGCAUGCUCCACGUGUUUGGCAAGCACAUAGGGUCGACGGUUGAAGCCUAUGUCGACGACAUCGUCGUCAUGUCAAAGCAGCGGGGAGACCUGAUCCAGGACCACGAGAUUGCUUUUAGCUGCUUACGCGCCAACCAGAUCAAGCUCAACCCUGAGAAGUGCAUUUUCGUCGUGCCUCGAGGCAUGCUCCUGGGUUACAUCGUUUCCCAGCGCGGCAUCGAGGCCAACCCCGAGAAUGUCUCAGCCAUCACAAGAUGGGGCCGAUCCGAGACAUCAAGGGCAUGUAGGGAGUCACAGGAUGCCUAGCGGCGCUGAGUCGUUUUAUCUCGAGGUUGGGAGAAAAGGCGUUGCCACUGUAUCGACUUCUGAAGAAAGUCGAGCGCUUCUCUUGGACCCCAGAGGCUGAGGAAGCACUCGAUAACUUGAAGAAAACUCUGACCUCUGCACUAGUGCUAGUCCCGCCUCAACCCGCAGAACCUCUGCUUCUAUACGUCGCAUCGACGACCCAGGUCGUCAGUGCAGCAGUAGUGGUCGAGAGGCAGGAGGAGGGGCAUGCACUGCCAGUCCAGAGGCUGGUCUAUUUAUUCAGCGAAGUACUCUCAGAGACCAAGGCGCAUUACCCGCAGAUCUAGAAGCUAAUCUACGCCGUAAUCCUCGCCCGACGCAAGCUGCAGCACUACUUCCUCGGCCACCCUAUCACGGUGCUCUCGUCUUUCCCCUUGGGCGAGAUCAUCCAAAGUCGGGAGGCCACGGGAAGAAUCGCCAAGUGGUCAGUCGAGCUCAUGAGUGUUGACGGUCCUUAAUGCUCAUAUUUAACCAUCAAUUAAUCAUAGAAAAGGAUCCAAAUGCAACCAACACCUAGACUUAGGGUUUUAUCCGACAGAAUUCCACAAGUUUUGGUGUUUGUCUAUUUCUGCAGGGGGUUAUCAGGAAAUACGGAAUAAAGGCCCACACGUCGGGUUUACAUAGAGAUAUUAACGUGCCGCACAAUUUUCUACCAUCUAGAAGACUCCAGAAGCCACGGGAACGAACGGGAGGCCGAUCGGGCUCGGAGGCAGGGCGCCCGCCCAACUCUCCUGGGCGCCCGGCCAGCUACAGUGUCCAAUUCGGACCCGUUUCGCGUAUUAUGCUCCACCGACCUAAAGGAUCAAGGAAAAUCGUGCGAUCAAUGUCGGUUUGAUCCGACGGCCCAGAUUCACUUGAAGGGACUAUAAAACCAGACCCCCUUGGCCCCUGGAGAUCAUACCUCUUCUACAGAAUCAAAGCUAGGGUUUCAAUUCUUCAUCCAAGUAGAGAGGAUCUGAUGCGUCACGUUGUCCCGAUCUUCACGACGUAGGAAGAACAUCGAUAACUAGCUGAAGAACAGCCGGAUAAGUUGCUGCAAGCAGCGAUAACUAGUGCAACCUGGCAAAUAAAACUCGAAGCCAACCACCGUCUUUAACCGGCAACCUGAAUCGAGGAUUCGCCCAACCACACUCUCAAGGAACCAACCAACACAGCCUACAAUCAAUCAAGGAAUACCUUGAAGGGAGUAGGAGCACCAAUUGGGAGCGGAUGAAGCCACCGCCUAUGUAAUCCCGCGAGGAAAUCACAAGAGCAAAGGGGUAGAGAUCACUCUCUGGAUUUGUUAGCACGCAGCUGAACAAAGGGGUUCUGUAUUUCAAUUAUCAAAGUCUUAGAUUACAAUGAGUCUUAGGUGGUAUUUAUACUAGCAACAGCCCUGCUAGAUAGGUAUGAAAACGAAAUAGAGUUUCUGAGGGAAGUCAAUGUGAAAGGUCCGCUCGAAAUGGAUUCCCGAAGUGGCUUCGCGUGACUGUUGGCCUCCAGAGCAGUUUCUAAUAAACUGACCAUAACUUUUUAUUGGGAAGUCCAAAUGAUGAACCGUUUCUUGGGUGUGAAACUAGACUCAAAGGGCUUUCCACCAAUGUAUGCGUACCAGCACGAAACAUUGUAGAUUGGUACAGUUUUACUUGGCAAUUUGUACCAACAUUCUGUCACGACAGACUGUUGACCUUCUGAGCAGUCUGUACUAAUUCUGGUCUGCAGGCAAUAUGGAGUAUCCAAACUGGUCGCCACUAGAUUCAUUGGAAAGUAGACUCGUCAAGCUUUCCAACAAAUGCUCAUGGACCUUCAUAGCUUUUGUGAGCAAAAAGUUAUGAAGAUUCUUUGCACUGGUCCGUUUUUGACUUCCACUGGUCCGUUUUUGACUUCUUCUGGAACUUGCACUGGUCCGUUCUUCAUGGUCCGAUUCUUCCUUCUCUUCUUCUAUAUACCUGAGUACAAUCAAGGUACAACACUUAGGUAGUAUAUAAUUAUCAUUAAUGUUAAAAUGAAUCUCACAAAGUAGCACGUGGACCUCUUGUUGUAGCUUCUUUGCACGACUACGUGUAAUCGGUCCAUCGAUGACUUGAGCUGGUGUCGGUGUAGGUGAAACUUGAGUUGGUGUAGCUUGACUUGGAGCUUGUGACAUCUUGCUUGGUGGCGUGGUCAUAUCAUCCUCCCCCCCUUGAAAAGGAGUCGUCCUCGACUCUAAAGUGUCUUCACUUGUGAAUGGUGAGAGAUCAGCAACAUUGAAUGAGUUGCUCACGCCAUAACUUGCAGGAAGAUCAAUCUUGUAUGCAUUGUCAUUGAUCUUCUCAAGAACACGAAAUGGACCAUCUCCUCGUGGCAGCAAUUUUGAUUUGCGCUGUUGAGGAAAGCGAUCCUUGCGCAAGUGUAUCCACACCAAGUCCCCGGGUUCAAAUAACACCUUCUUCCUAUGUUUGUUCAUACUUGCAACCUUGCGUCCUGCCUUGAGUUCAAUUGCUUCCUUGGUCUUCUCGUGUAUCUUCUUGAUGUAUGCAGCACGCUUGGAGGCUUCCAUAUUGGUUCUUUCCUGCAAUGGAAGGGGCAACAAAUCUAUCAGAGCAAUAGGUUUGAACCCAUAUACAAUUUCAAAAGGACACAUAUUAGUGGUAGAGUGUACUGCCCUGUUAUAUGUAAACUCCACAUGUGGCAAACAUUCCUCCCAAACCUUCAGGUUCUUUUUCAUCAUAGUUCGCAGCAACAUUGACAAUGUGCGAUUCACCACUUCAGUUUGUCCAUCGGUUUGAGGGUGACAAGUGGUGGAGAACAAAAGCUUGGUUCCGAGCUUUGCCCAUAACGUUUUCCAAAAAUAGCUCACAAACUUGACAUCACGAUCAGAUACAAUGGUUCUAGGCAUUCCAUGCAGCCGCACAAUUUCCCUGAAGAACAAAUUAGCAAUAUGCGAAGCAUCGUCGCUCUUGUUACAAGGAAUAAAAUGAGCCAUCUUUGAAAAUCUAUCAACCACAACAUAAAUUGAAUCUUUUCCUUUCUGAGUUCUAGGCAACCCCAAGACAAAAUCCAUGCUUAUGUCUUCCCAAGGAGUUUUAGGAGUAGGUAAAGGAGUAUAUAAACCAUGAGGGUUCAGUUUAGACUUAGCUUUGUGACAGGUAACGCAUCGCUCCAUGAAUCUGAUGACAUCUCUUCUCAUCUUGGGCCAAUAAAAAUGAUCUUCUAGCAGCUCAUAGGUUUUUCUUUGUCCAAAAUGGCCUGUCAAUCCUCCCCCAUGAGACUCCUGCAACAAAAGCAAUCUAACCGAAGAAUUUGGAACACAGAUUUUGUUAGCUCUAAACAAAAAUCCAUCAUGUAUAUGAUACUUUUCCCAACCUUUUCUAUUUUUACAAUGAUUAUAUGGUUCUGAAAAUUCAGGGUCAUUACUGUACAGUUCUUUCAAACUUUCAAGUCCCAAAACCUUUACCUCAAGUUGGUUUAGCAACACACUCUUUCGUGACAGAGCAUCAGCAACAACAUUAUCCUUACCUUUCUUAUAUUUCACAAUGUAUGGAAAUGUUUCGAUGAACUCAACCCAUUUGGCAUGACGACGGUUCAGUUUUGCUUGUCCUUUCAAGUACUUCAAAGCUUCAUGAUCAGAGUGAAUAACAAAUUCUUUUGGCCAUAAGUAGUGCUGCCAUGUUUCAAGCACACGCACCAAAGCAUAUAAUUCUUUAUCAUACACAGAAUAAUUCAGUUGAGCACCUCCUAGUUUUUCACUAAAAUAUGCUACAGGUUUUCCUUGUUGCAUUAAAACUCCUCCUAUCCCAAUUCCACUAGCAUCACAUUCUAUUUCAAAAGUUUUAGUGAAAUCAGGAAGAACAAGUACAGGUGCUUCAGUCAAACGUUUCUUUAAUUCUUGAAAUGCAUUUUGUUGUGAUUUUUCCCAUUUAAAGUCAACACCUUUCUUUGUCAAUUCAUUCAAAGGAGCAGCGAUGGUACUGAAAUCUCUCACAAACCUUCUAUAAAAACCAGUAAGGCCAUGAAAACUUCUUACUUGACUUACAUUUGUUGGAGUUGGCCAAUCCUUGAUGGCUUUCACCUUGCUUUCAUCCACUUCUAUGCCCUUUCCUGAUACAACAAAGCCAAGAAACACAACAUGGUCUGUGCAAAAACUGCACUUCUCAAGAUUAGCAAAUAAUUUCUCCUUUCUAAGCUCUUCCAAGACUUGCCGAAUAUGAUUCACAUGUUCCUCAAAAGACUUGCUGUAAGUUAAGAUAUCAUCGAAGUAGACAACAACAAAUUUUCCAAUGAAAGCUCUCAAGACAUGGUUCAUUAAUCUCAUGAAGGUACUAGGAGCAUUAGUCAAACCAAAAGGCAUAACUAACCAUUCAUACAGCCCAAAUUUUGUUUUAAAUGCAGUUUUCCAUUCAUCCCCUGUUUUCAUUCUUAUUUGAUGGUAUCCACUUCUCAAAUCAAUUUUAGUGAAUAUGUUGGAACCACUUAAUUCAUCAAGCAUGUCAUCUAAACGUGGGAUAGGAUGGCGAUAGCGAACAGUGAUGUUAUUUAUAGCUCUACAAUCAACACACAUUCUCCAAGAACCAUCUUUCUUAGGUACUGAAAUUACAGGAACAGCACAAGGACUUAAACUUUCACGAACAAAACCUUUAUCAAGAAGUUCUUGCACUUGCCUUUAUAUCUCCUUUGUUUCUUCUGGAUUGGUUCGGUAUGGUGGUCGAUUAGGUAGUGCAGCCCCUGGAAUGAGAUCAAUUUGAUGCUCAAUCCCACGAAUUGGAGGUAGUCCCGCCGGUGUUUCUUCUGGAAAAACAUCUCCAUAGUCCUGCAAAAGAUGAGACACAACACUAGGAAGAGAGGUCAUGUCGUUAGCUGAAAUUAAAAUGUCUUUGUAUACAAGUACAAAGAGCACUUGUUCGGGGUUGUUCCUCACUUCUCUCAUUUCAGAUUUUGUGGCUAGCAUGACUAAAUUCUCUCCCUCUCCUUUCUUUUUCUCCCUCAAAUUUGGCUUGUGGCACUCACUCACCGAAUUGUGGAUGGCACUCAGUUUCUUUUGCUCUCCUUCCUCUCUACUCACUCGAACAAUUUCAGAUUUCUUUUGUAAAUGUUCAGCCAUGAUUUGUUGGGGUGUCAUAGGCUUGAGAACAAACUUCUUUCCCGUUAGAUUGAUAGUAAACUGAUUUGUUCUCCCACAAUGUUGGCUAUAUCGAUCAUAUUGCCAUGGCCUUCCAAGCAGCAAGUGACACACCGACAUGGGCGCCACAUCACACUCUACUGUGUCAACAUAUUCACCAAUCUUGAAUGGAAUGUUUACUUUAUAUCCAAUCUUGAUAUCUCCCGAAUCAUUCAGCCACUGUAUAUGAUAUGGAUGAGGGUGUCGUAGCAGCUUCAGGCCAAGUUUAUCAGCCAUCUCACGACUAGCAAGAUUAUGGCAGCUCCCUCCAUCAAUAAUCACCUUCACCACCUUAUCAUGUACCUUUGCUCUGGUUUCAAAUAAAUUAUGUCGCUGCCCAUUUUCAGCUUCUUUCAUUUGAACACUCAAGAUUUGAGUCACCACAAGAGCAGCACCAUGCUCAAAUUCACAGCCAGUAUGUUCCUCAUCUUCAUGGGCUUCACCAACAUGUUCUUCCUCAGCUUCCUCUUCACUAGCUGAUUCUAAUUCUCCACUAUCAUUCACAAUGACCACACGAUUAUUUGGACACUCUCUUGAUACAUGUCCACAGCCUCCACACUUGAAGCACUGAAUUCCACUACUCUUGGAAGUGGAACCCACUGAAGUAGUGUUUGAUGCUGCUGGUUUUGAACUUGGGACAGCAGUGUUCUUUCCACUAAAAGUACCCUGAAAAUUAGAUCGUGAGCCUCCACUUGAGCCUUUCACCAGGGAUGGUUCAGCAGAAAACUUGGUGAUUGAUUUGCUUCCUCCAGAGAUGUUCCUCAUACCAAAGGACAAGGACUUGCUGCUCUUAGCUUCUUGCUGCAAUUGACGUUAAGCUUUGGUUGCUUGAUGUACCAAAUCAAUAAGAUAUCGGUAUGGCUGAAACUCAACAAUGCGCUGAAUAUUGCGAUGCAGCCCAGCCAUAAAACGUGCAAUAGUUUGCUCUUCAUCUUUAUACACAUUGGCUCUAAUCAUAGAUUUCUCCAUCUCCUUAUAAUACUCUUCAACAGAGAGACUUCCUUGCUUCAAAUUCUGCAAUUUAUCAAAAAGAUCACGCCGAUAGUGCUUCGGCACAAAACGACUUCUCAUUUCUCUCUUCAUUUCAUCCCAAGUUGCAAUAGGAUGUCUUCCAUCUUCUUCAUGAUCACUGAGGAGCUGCUCCCACCAUAUUAGAGCAUAUCCUUCAAACUCCAGAGAUGCCAUUGCCAGCUUCUCUUCUGAAUAAUUAUGCAAGCGAAAGAUUUUAUCCACUUUCAGCUCCCAAGUGAAAUAAGCUUCAGGAUCAGACCCACCAUCAAACUUUGGCAUGGUAAACUUCAGUUUUCCUAGCCUCUCCUCAUGAUUGCCUCUUCUACGAUGUCGACGACCAUAUCGAUAUUGAGAAUGAUCAUCAUCAUCCUCUUUUUCAGAUUCUUCAUUAUCAUGAUUUCUUCGACCUUGACCUCUUCCCCUACCUCGGUUCUUCCUUCCUUGUUCCCCUGAGCUUCUACUAGCAGCACUUCUAUCACUCAUAUCUCCAUCUUCACCAUGGUUGCUUGCUCCAUCAUGAGGUUGGCGACGCCUUCUGAUUUCAGUCAUAAGGUUCUGAAGAUCUUGUGUCAACCUAUCUUGCUUUUCUUCUAUGCUUUGUCGGAGUUCAUUAAAUUGUGCCAAAGUGACACAAUCCUCUAUUCCAUCACCCAUCUUCCUGUAAGGUUAGCUGAAUACAAAUAAUUUGUAUUUGUGGAAUAUGAAAAUUUGGUGGCCCUCACAACUCACCUCUCUAACCACCAAGGCUCUUAUGAAUUCCUCUGCUGCAGAUUACAAUGAAAACAAAUGUGUGGUGGCAACUGAAAAUGAUGGCGAGGCGAAUACAAGAACAGAGAGUACCGAUUACGAUGGUUUUUUUAUGUGGAGCUUGGUGGGGAGUAAUACACAAGGAAUGCAAUCUGAAUUCUAGUUGUUGUAAAGUUAAGUAACGAUCCAAACUAGAAGUUCUCUGCCUAGUGCUGAUCAAAAGAUUCGAAGUGUAUAAAUAGAUCACACACAAGCAAAGAAAUUUCAGAACUGAUGCAAACAAGGAGUAUGAUUGGGAUGCAAGUGUUGCAAUCAGACCCAACCAAAGUUUUGCACCAAACAAAGAUAGCAAACUAGUUGUAGAACUUGAUAUGAAACUUUCAGCACUUGUGCACAUAAACCAACUAAUCUUUCAGACUUUCUCUCUGAACCUUUCUCAACUUUUUUUUCACUUCACUUUUUUUUUGCACUUUCUUUUCUUUUUUUUGACACACUUUUUUUAUAUAUAUAGAACUAAAAACAGGGAUCAGAUUAUGAUACUUGCACAACUAAAGACAGAAAUAAAACAACAACCAGUAGCUAGAUAUGAUCAAAGUUAACACAAAGGAUGAUAUAGGCUAUAGAGAUUUUUUUUUGUGGGGAUUUUUAGAUAUAAAAGAGGCACAAAGAACACGCAAAGGAUAUGAUGAUCAGCAACUAUAACAAAGACUCUAAUGGACUGCGACUUAACCGAACUCACUAAAAUAACAGAUUGAAACAAAGGUCUAAGCAAUAUAUUUUUCUGGCUUUUUGGUGGGUAGGACGAAGCAAAAUAUAUAUGUAGCUAGGGAUAAAAUUCCUACCGUGGUAACGAAAGCUUUGAUACCAGAUGAUGCGUCAUGUUGUCCCGAUCUUCACGACGUAGGAAGAACAUCGAUAACUAGCUGAAGAACAGCCGGAUAACUUGCUGCAAGCAGCGAUAACUAGUGCAACCUGGCAAAUAAAACUCGAAGCCAACCACCGUCUUUAACCGGCAACCUGAAUCGAGGAUUCGUCCAACCACACUCUCAAGGAACCAACCAACACAGCCUACAAUCAAUCAAGGAAUACCUUGAAGGGAGUAGGAGCACCAAUUGGGAGCGGAUGAAGCCGCCGCCUAUGUAAUCCCGCGAGGAAAUCACAAGAGCAAAGGGGUAGAGAUCACUCUCUGGAUUUGUUAGCACGCAGCUGAACAAAGGGGUUCUGUAUUUCAAUUAUCAAAGUCUUAGAUUACAAUGAGUCUUAGGUGGUAUUUAUACUAGCAACAGCCCUGCUAGAUAGGUAUGAAAACGAAAUAGAGUUUCUGAGGGAAGUCAAUGUGAAAGGUCCCCUCGAAAUGGAUUCCCGAAGUGGCUUCGCGUGACUGUUGGUCUCCAGAGCAGUUUCUAAUAAACUGACCAUAACUUUUUAUUGGGAAGUCCAAAUGAUGAACCGUUUCUUGGGUGUGAAACUAGACUCAAAGGGCUUUCCAGCAAUGUAUGCCAACCAGCACGAAACUUUGUAGAUUGAUACAGUUUUACUUGGCAAGUUGUACCAACAUUCUGUCCCCACAGACUGUUGACCUUCUGAGCAGUCUGUACUAAUUCUGGUCUGCAGGCAAUAUGGAGUAUCCAAACUGGUCGCCACUAGAUUCAUUGGAAAGUAGACUCGUCAAGCUUUCCAACAAAUGCUCAUGGACCUUCAUAGCUUUUGUGAGUAAAAAGUUAUGAAGAUUCUUUGCACUGGUCCGUUUUUGACUUCCACUGGUCCGUUUUUGACUUCUUCUGGAACUUGCACUGGUCCGUUCUUCAUGGUCCGAUUCUUCCUUCUCUUCUUCUAUAUACCUGAGUACAAUCAAGGUACAACACUUAGGUAGUAUAUAAUUAUCAUUAAUGUUAAAAUGAAUCUCACAAAGUAGCGCGUGGACCUCUUGUUGUAGCUUCUUUGCACGACUACGUGUAAUCGGUCCAUCGAUGACUUGAGCUGGUGUCGGUGUAGGUGAAACUUGAGUUGGUGUAGCUUGACUUGGAGCUUGUGACAUCUUGCUUGGUGGCGUGGUCAUAUCAGGAUCCCUCUAGUUCUUCUAGUUCUACCUCUAGUUCAUCUAGAUCUAGUUCUAGUUCAUCUAGUUCUAGUUCUAGUUCCUCUAGUUCUAGUUCUAGUUAGUUCUAGUUGUAAUCUAGAAAAUAGGGAGAGCGAAGAGGAGAGCGGAGGAGGAGCCGGAUCUGUCGGAUACAUUGUACUUUUGCAGCAACUGGUUCGUUCUUCAUCGUUCUCCAGGUUCUUCAAUUCAUAAUUCCUGAGUUCUUUAAUUACUUUUAUUUACAUUCAAGUUAUUUAUUGGAUUCCCGCUUGCAUCAAGUGCUCUAGUCUUUAUAACGCUAGAGUAGUAAUUAAUAGAUUAGACGUGGUGUUUAGUCUUGCGAUUACCUGGAAUUGCACCCAAUCCCACGGAUUGUUGUGGUAGCCCUAGGGUAGUGACAGCCCUAACGGUCGACGUAUUCCACCACGUUCGGAUCGGUGUUUGUAGGACCGUAGUCAGACCUUCCUAGCCCCCUUCUCAUCUCUUUCUGUGGUUAGUGCUCUGAUGUCCCGAUAUAGAUAAUCUUGAAGUAAUUCUUGAUUCUUAGAUCAACUAGAGAACUCUCAGGAAACUUCCUCUCUUCCCACCAAAAAUAAUUAUAUAGUUAUCCUUGGGCGAUCUUGGAUCUUAAUUAGUACACUCAUGUUCUCUGUGGAAAAUCGAUACUCUGGAAUACUCCCGGGUGAAAGCUACAUCGGUAUCCGUGCGCUUGCGGAUUUUUCUGUUUGCGUUUAAAAUACCCAACAAGCUUUCUGGCGCCGUUGCCGGGGAACGGUAGCUGUGCUAGUUUCGAACCAAGUCGUCCGUGUAUCCUUUUAUUUUCCUUUUUUUUACCACACUCACCUUACUAUUUUCACCAUACCACAUGGAUUUCACUCUAAGCAUUAAUAAGCAUGGAAUUUAUUUCAUAGCCACUUCAUUUACUCCAUGCUCAUAUGCAACAUCUUCACAAUCCAUUGGUCUUUCCAACAUCACCACAUUCGAGAUCUCCAACCCCCUCAUCCUUUCUAUUUAUAAAAACUUUAAAAGGGCGGUUGUCGAUGCAUAUGUCUAUAAGAAAUAUUGCAGAUCUCGUUGAGUUGAUCUUGAUAUAGGUCAGCGUUGGAGGGGAAACCACUUCACCGACAUAAAUUGAUGGUUUCCCAAGGACAAGCUUAGAGUCCUAAAACAAGCACUGAUCAGAUCAUAACUUGAGCUUUUAAUUAUUUGUAUCAUUACCUUGUGUAUUGAGCAUAUAAGGAUAAUUGUAAAAAUAUUCCUUCGGGUAUUCUUGUCACUAACCUUUCCAGGAUUGGAGCAAGAAGAUCGAAUGAAUGACAAGCACAAGGUAUGUCCAACCAAUCAUCAUACAACAUUGAAUUGAAUUCAUCCAAACUUGAAUUUUGCAAAAUUCAAGCUUGGGGGAGUACUUUACAUUAAAACAUCCUUUGCCAUGUUGUUAUGUUGGUUGUCACUACCUUUGAGACAUGCUCAAUUUGUUAAAUACUAAUCACGCUACUUCAUCUCCACUUGAGUAGAUCUCUAUAAAUGCUCUCAUGCUACCUUUAUUUGCUUUAGUAUAUGUUUAGGUUUGGAGUAGUUUCAUUUAUCUCUUAAUUAAGCAUGGUGCUUAGUUUAGGGCUGAUGAUCUUACUUCCAAGGGUUUUUAAAUCAAGCUUGGUGCUUAGGUUAAAAUGCCCUCCUAAAUCAAAUUAGACAUGGUGUCUAGGUUGAUCUUUGAGCCGAUAGUAUGCUAUAGUAGAUAUUGGAUAUUUUGUUGGACUAACCCCUGCAGGAAAACUUUUAAUAUCGACCUGGGAAGUCCUGAGAUAAACUCACAUUGGAGACAAAGAGAGAGGCACAUGAAGUUUAAUAAUUUACACAAGGAAGGCAUAGCUCACAAGAGAUGAUCCAUGGAGGUGCCACAAACACGAUGCACAACCGCUAAGAGAGGAAAGCUUCCACAAGGUGAUACUGUACCACCAUUCUUCAAGUAAGGUAACAUUUUAAGGUACUUGACUAUCACUUCUAUAAGCUUUUCCUUGGUUCUGGCAUUCCAUGAAUAAAAGAGACAAACAUGUAUGAUUUACAACUCUAGAUUAACCAACCCAAUCGAUUCAACAUGUUUAGUCCUUCCACCUUUGUGAUCCCAUACUCCUAAUAUGAGCUAAAAUGUUGCACAUGCAAUCUUUGGAAGAUAUAUAAAAAGAAGAUAAGUAUAGAUAGAUUAUCUUUCCAUUAGGUUGAGUAAUCUGAUCUGACGAAUGUUUUAAAUGCUACACUCAUGAUCUUAUUAUCCAUCAACUUUGUUUUGCUCACUAUGCUUAAGGAUAGAGAAGAAUAAAUACACUUUUGGUUCUGUUGGUGUUUUUCACCAACAGGGCCCAUGCACUUGAUCUCUGCCUUGUCUCUAUGAGCAGGUACACUUUGAGCAAAAUAUGAAGGACUUUUACAACUCCUAGACUCCACAAAGUGAAGAACCUAGAUCUACAAGCACAAACACACUGGAGAUACUGGACACUCAUGCAAACACUGCCCUGAGAUGCUUGAGGAUGUAACUACUGGAGUAACCCCGUUGUGGAAGUAAUUACUGACCUUCUGCCGGUCAAGAGAGACAAUCUAGGAGGCCCCGUCAUCCCAAUCUCCAUCGGCAUGGUGGACUUCCUAGAAGCACUCUGUGACUUUGGCUCCAGCGUCAACUUUAUACCUAGGGGAAGCCAUUCCUGAACACCUCGGGAGCUGUCAUCUACGCUAGUGCUGCCAAGAUCAGUUUCUACAUCAAGGGGAAGAAGGAGAUGUUUUCCUUCAAGAAACAAGGCUACACAAAUCCCAGAGCAAUCCCGACAUGAACCAAGGAAGAGGACCAACAGGAGGAACAAGAACAAGCAAAUGUGUACCGAGUCAGCUAAGAUGGUCACUGCAGCUCAAGGAGGUCAAGAUCGUCAACUCAAAUCACCUUUCUUGAUCAAGAAGGACGACCCUGGUGUCCCAAGCAUCGAGUGCACAAUCAAUAGAUAUUCUUUUCAGAAGACACUCUACGACACCGGAUCUAACGUCAACAUAAUGGCCGCAGUCACUUAUCAGCUCCUGUAUGGAACCAUGUCCCUACAACCAACAUACAUUCAGCUUCAGAUGGCAGAUCAGACAUUCUGAAAGAUUGAAGGUUAUUGACAUGGGAGAAGACGAGUACGAUCCACCCAUCAUCAUUGGAAGACCGUUCUUUAGCACCAUUAAAGCAAUCAUAUACAUUGGAACCAGAGAAGUCCACAUGCACUUCCCCUCUGAGAAGGUACGCCGCUGUUUUACUGACCCUAACUAUAUAGUUGAAGACUCUAAGCAGGUCAGGACAAGAAGAAGACGACGCAACCGCAACCAGAGGAGGCAAAUUUCAAGGACGGAUGGGCAGACUAUGAAGGAGAAGUAGUAAGGUCUGAAGACAUACAGCUUGAACAGAAUUUUCCUGAGGAGACCGUAGCACCGAGUCAAGUGUGGACAGAGAAAAUAGUUAUACAUGAAGAGUACGCGCCGCCGGAACCACCGACUACGCCAUCCAGCGAAUUCCAGGAUGAUUGAGAAAACGGAGAAUCCUGUUCGGAGGACUUAAAGACACCAAACGCCUUGCCAAGAGGUAAACUUGGUAGUUAUCUUUUUUCUUUCAACUAUUUAAAAUAGUUUUCUUAGUUAAUUAGGUUCAUAUCAUCUUGAAAAGAAAAUAAAAAUGUAAAAAUAGUAAGGCCCAUGUGAGUAUGCUCAUGGCAUAAAACGCAUAAGUACAUUCACUGUGGUGGCAUAAAAAUAAAAUAAAUAUAUUCCUAUCCUAUAAAAAUAAAAUUAUAAAAAUAAAUUUAUGAUCCUACUGAAGAGAGUAACAUUUAUUGAGGAGGCUCAACAUGAUAAAGGCUAGAUACUUAUGCUAACACUUAACUAGUUCCACAAAGCUUUGUUGUCUAUUUGAGCUCCACAGAAUUCAAGGAUCAAAGAAGACUAGCAGACGGAGGACAUCCUAAUCGCUGUCAGGGUGCUGCCACAUUCAAAUACACCUCCGCCACCUGCUAGCUACAUCAGAAGGAAUUACGUCAAAACCCAGCUUGGGGGAGAGCAACCCCAUUUAUCCAGCUAAGUACUCUACUCAUGUUUAUACUUUACUUAAAUAAUAAAAAAGAUGCACAAUCAUAAAAACCCAAAUAAAGAUUUUGUGCUUAUAUAUAUAUAUUUGCUUAGUUUGCUAAAUAAAUAAAUAAAUAAAAUUUGCUAUGAACCCUCAUGAUAAGCUCUCACAUGGAAAGAUGAAUAGUUGCUCUGCCAUGACUGUUAUUAAUUAAGAUUUGCUCUAAACCUGAACUUGUGGGGAGAGUACUUCAUCUAAAGUCUAAGUCGUUAACGGAUACGAUAUGGGAAGGUUGAGCUGUUGUUUAUCUGUUCCUAGAGAUGCUAGAAUUCUGGAGAAUUUUAUCUUUGAAAAUCUUUAAAAUGUUACAUGAUGAGUUCCUGUAUGAUGAGAGUUUAAAUUCCUACCACAGCCAUAUAUACAUGCUUGCUAGACUUUGAGCCACACAUUUACUUUUUACUACUUAUGAGCAUUGAGUGUGGUCAAGCUGUGUAGACCCUUAGGAGCUUGUCAUGUGGUUAAAUCAAGAUUCACUUGCACGUUCACUCACACAUGCUACUUCUACUCCAGAAGUACCAUCCACAUAUAUAUAUCCAUUUCCAUCUCUAGAACCACCCAAAAAUAUUCUACUCCUAAUCCGGGAGAGAAUAGCCAAAAAUAUUCCUGUUUUUCCCUGUGAAAUAAAUGCUCAAGUUAUCUUGUUACUACCACUUGCUAUAUUAUCUCAUGAGAUGAGUGCUCUAAAAAAAAGAAAAAAAUAUAUAUAUAUAUACGAGGAAAUAAAAAGGGGCAAGUGCCCGGAACCUCGAAGAAAAGAAAAAGUGAGACGAGAGGUAAAAAAGGACAAGUGUCCGAUAGUAGAAUUAGGGGUACAAGAUACCCACCUGAGAGAAAAGAAAAAAAGAAAAUAUAGAGCAUCUCAUUCUCCUUAAAAAGUUUCAAAAGUGCAAGAAAGGUAUGUAUCCCCUCAAAAGAGCAAAGUAGAAUUAGACUUUCACCAUUGUUAUCACCAUCAUCACCAUACACCAUUCAUUCGCCACACAUGCACAUCUUGAUUUGACUUAUUGACUUGUUCUUUUGGAUCCAUGGUUUGACUAUGCAAUAAAUGUCUUGUAAGUAUGUAUUAGUUGUCUCCCACCUAUGAGCUCCAGAUAUCAAAAACCUUAUUAGAGUAGGGUGAGAGAGAAGGCAAUGCCACUAUGCCUUAUACCACAAAUACCACAUACUUUGAGAGAAGGCAUAUACCAAUACUGCCUUGGUAAGGAUCCAGAAAUACUACAAAAGAGAGACUAGAGAGAGUCAUACAAGGAAUCUCUGAGUUUUAUUUGAAAAUCUGCAAAAACUCCAGAGCUAUAGCUGAUCAAGAAUAAGAGACAUGGUGCUUGACUAGACCGUUCUAUCUUUUAACUACUUAAGAUAGAAGUGAUGGUUACAAGUCCCAUGGUGAAAGGUAAAUGAGUAAGUUUUAAGUCUUAACAGUUUACUCUAACCAGAGAUGAGAUCUUGUUUAAACGCAUGUGUAUCUUUAAGUUAUGAAACCACUGCAGAAACUCUUGAGUCAAUCUUUGCUCAGGGACGAGCAAAGGUUAAGCUUGGGGGAGCUUGUUGACGGUCCUUAAUGCUCAUAUUUAACCAUCAAUUAAUCAUAGAAAAGGAUCCAAAUGCCACCAACACCUAGACUUAGGGUUUUAUCCGACAGAAUUCCACAAGUUUUGGUGUUUGUCUAUUUCUGCAGGGGGUUAUCAGGAAAUACGGAAGAAAGGCCCACACAUCGGGUUUACAUAGAGAUAUUAACGUGCCGCGCAAUUUUCUACCAUCUAGAAGACUCCAGAAGCCACGGGAACGAACGGGAGGCCGAUCGGGCUCGGAGGCAGGGCGCCCGCCCAACUCUCCUGGGCGCCCGCCCAGCUACAGUGUCCAAUUCGGACCCGUUUCGCGUAUUAUGCACCACCGACCUAAAGGAUCAAGGAAAACCGUGCGAUCAAUGUCGGUUUGAUCCAACGGCCCAGAUUCACUUGAAGGGACUAUAAAACCAGACCCCCCUGGCCCCUGGAGAUCAUACCUCUUCUACAGAAUCAAAGCUAGGGUUUCAAUUCUUCAUCCAAGUAGAGAGGAUCCCUCUAGUUCUUCUAGUUCUACCUCUAGUUCAUCUAGAUCUAGUUCUAGUUCAUCUAGUUCUAGUUCUAGUUCCUCUAGUUCUAGUUCUAGUUAGUUCUAGUUGUAAUCUAGAAAAUAGGGAGAGAGAAGAGGAGAGCGGAGGAGGAGCCGGAUCUGUCGGAUCUUCCUCAACAUUGUACUUUUGCAGCAACUGGUUCGUUCUUCAUCGUUCUCCAGGUUCUUCCAUUCAUAAUUCCUGAGUUCUAUAAUUACUUUUAUUUACAUUCAAGUUAUUUAUUGGAUUCCCGCUUGCAUCAAGUGCUCUAGUCUUUAUAACGCUAGAGUAGUAAUUAAUAGAUUAGACGUAGAGUUUAGUCUUGCGAUUACCUGGAAUUGCACCCAAUCCCACGGAUUGUUGUGGUAGCCCUAGGGUAGUGACAGCCCUAACGGUCGACGUAUUCCACCACGUUCGGAUCGGUGUUUGUAGGACCGUAGUCAGACCUUCCUAGCCCCCUUCUCAUCUCUUUCUGUGGUUAGUGCUCUGAUGUCCCGAUAUAGAUAAUCUUGAAGUAAUUCUUGAUUCUUAGAUCAACCAGAGAACUCUCAGGAAACUUCCUCUCUUCCCACCAAAAAUAAUUAUAUAGUUAUCCUUGGGCGAUCUUGGAUCUUAAUUAGUACACUCACGUUCUCUGUGGAAAAUCGAUACUCUGGAAUACUCCCGGGUGAAAGCUACAUCGGUAUCCGUGCGCUUGCGGAUUUUUCUGUUUGCGUUUAAAAUACCCAACAAUGAGUGAGACUCUCACUUACGCGCCCCGCAAAGCUAUCAAAUCACAGGCCUUGGUGGAUUUCGUCGCAGAAUGGACAGACUCCCAGCUCCCCCCGGCUCAGGUCCAGGCAGAGCUGUGGACGAUGUACUUUGGCGGGUCUCUCAUGAAGACAGGAGCUGGGGCGAGCCUGCUAUUCAUCUCGCCCCCGGGCGUUCAUAUGAGGUACGUCAUCAGGAUACAUUUUGCCGCAUCCAACAAUGUUGCAGAGUACGAGGCGCUUAUCAAUGGUCUGAAGAUCGCCAUCGAGCUGGGAGUCCGAUGCCUCGACGUUCGAGGCGACUCCCAGCUCGUCAUCGACCAAGUGAUGAAGACCUCGAGCUGCCACGAGCCGAAAAUGGAGGCGUACUGCAAGGAGGUCCGUCGGCUCGAGGACAAGUUCCACGGCCUCGAGCUCGUCCACGUCGCUCGACGCUACAAUGAGGCGGCCGACGAACUCGCCAAGAUCGCGUCGACUCGAGGCACGGUGCCACCUGACGCGUUCCCAAGAGAUCUACACGAGCCAUCCAUCGACUUGGGCUUGGGGGCUAGUGUCAAGACCGCUCCUGCCCGACAAGCCGAUGCCGUCGAAGUGCUGCUAAUUGCAGCCGAGGUGACGGAGUCGGAACAGCGCCCCAGUCGACCAUUUGACUGGCGCACGCCAUUCCUCGACUACCUGAUCUGCUGUGAGCUGCCAGAAGAUCGAUCCGAGGCCCGCCGUAUCGCUCGACGGGCCAAGUCAUAUGUAAUCUAUGGCGAGGACAAUGAGCUAUAUCACCAAAGCCCGACGGGGGUCUUGCAGCGUUGUAUCACCGUGGAAGAAGGCCGAAAACUCCUCGAGGAUCUACACUCGGGGGCUUGUGGCCACCAUGCUGCUCCUCGGACCCUCGUAGGGAACGCCUUCCGACAAGGCUUCUACUGGCCAACGGCCAUAGCUGAUGCCAUCGAGCUCGUACGCUCAUGCCAUGGGUGCCAAUUCUACGCCAAACAGACGCACCUGCCUGCCCACGCUCUCCAAAUGAUCCCUAUCACAUGGCCAUUUGCGUUUUGGGGGCUCGACUUAGUAGGGCCUCUACAAAAGGCAAAAGGGGGGUACACCCACUUGUUAGUGGCCAUCGACAAAUUCUCCAAAUGGAUCGAGGCUUGACCCAUCACCAACAUCCGCUCCGAGCAGGCCGUCCUUUUCUUCACCGACAUCAUCCACCAGUUUGGGAUUCCCAACGUCAUCAUCACCGACAACGACACUCAGUUCACCGGCAAAAAGUUCUUGGACUUCUGCGAUCAGCAUCACAUCCGUGUGAACUGGUCUGCAGUGGCCCACCCUCGAACUAACGGCCAGGUUGAGCAUGCCAACGGCAUGAUUUUGCAGGGGCUCAAACCAAGGAUUUAUAAUCGCUUGAAGAAAUUCAGCAAGAAAUGGGUCGAGGAGCUUUCCUCGGUCCUAUGGAGCUUAAGGACGAUGCCGAGCAGGGCCACAAAAUACACCCCAUUCUUCAUGGUCUAUGGCUCUGAGGCUGUGCUCCCAACGGACCUCGAGUAUGGGUCCCCUCGACUCAAAGCAUACAACGAGCAAUCAAAUAAAGAGACUCAAAAGAACGCGGUCGACCAACUCGAGGAAUCUCGAGACAUGGCCCUUCUCAACUCUGCCAGAUACCAGCAGAAACUUCGACGCUACCACGACAAGCACGUGCGCAAGAGGGACUUGAACGUGGGCGACCUCAUCCUACGACGGUAGCAAAGCAAUCAAGGACGCCACAAGCUGACUCCACCUUGGGAGGGCCCAUACGUAGUGGCCGAGGUCUUGAAGCCGGGGACAUACAAGCUCGCGGACAAAAAGGGGGCGAUCUUCACCAACGCGUGGAACAUCGAACAGCUACCUCGAUUCUACCCCUAGAAUUUCAAAGCUUUAUGUUCCCAUGUACGUUCUGUACCAAGGCCUUGUAUACGAGCGCAUGAAUAAAUAAGGUUUUUCCCUCGAGCAAUUUACUUUUUUCAAGAAUCAAAAUCUCGACGUUAGAAGGGAGUACCAACUAUGACCCAUCAUAGUCGAUACCCCCUCGGGGGCUAGCAAGGGGGUAAUACCCCCCCAAGUGCCGAAAAAAACCAAGUAACCCUUUCGUUCCUAUCAGUGAUCCCAUACGGUCGAGUAGUAAAGGCACCUCAAGCCCCUUAAGGAUCGAGAGACGACGAGCCUGAGAACUCCUACGCCCCCGGGCUAAGGAAACUCUAGUCGCUUCCUCACCCUUGAGGCAAUCGAGAUCGCCUUAAACAAAAGAGCAAACGAGGAACACAAACAUAAGCGCAAGGGGAAAUAAAGGAGCCUCGAGCGGAAAGACAGAUAAACAUUUGACAACCACUUAAAGACAUUGUAUUACUUAAAGACAAGUUAACAGAGUACUAUACAAGGGGCCCCAGGCACCCAGAGCAGGCUCGCAGGCAUUAGUCCGCAUCACGGUCCUCACCACCCUCGCCUGCGCCUGAGCUAGUCUCAGGGGGAAGUACCUCGGGCUCAAAUAGCUUGGUCAGCCUCUCCCCAGGGACCUCCGCGUCGUCGAUCAAGGCGUGGAGCCUCUCCUUGUUCUCCGCAUCAGUCUUGGAGAUGUCGGUGACAAAACCAUGAGACACCACGUCCAUAUCAUAGGAAAAGCCCGAGCAGACAACUGCCAUUGCCCGUUUUACCCCGAUAUGGAGAGCGUCCCGCACCCGAUCCCUUAGCGUCGCGCCUAAGUAGCACAACUGAUCGACCAGAGCGUCGCCUCGAGCUUCCUCCUUCGACUCGUCCAUGGGCUCGACCUCCCAAGAGGUUGAGAGAUCGCUUAUCGCCGUCCGCAGUCGACGGUUCAAAGCAACCUCCCCCUCGAGCUGGGCCUUGGCGGUACGAGCCUCGACUUGGGCGGCCAAGAGCUCGUCUUUGAGCCCUGUAAAUGCCAAUGCAAAAAAGUUUAGAUAAAACCAAGCACACCUCAGAAAAGAAACUCGAUAGUAGAAAUGUACCACAGAUGAUCUCCUCCAGAGCCGUGUUUUCGCCAACCAAAUUGGUGUUGGCCCUCUCGACCUCCCCGUUGGAGCGCGCCAGCUCGGUGUUGGUGAUGCGCAGAUCCUCGAUCGCCUUGUCGGCCUGCGCAAUGGCUCCUUCCUUCUCCAGCAGCGCCCUCUUCAGACGAUCAACGUCAUCAGAGACGCUGCGGGAUCGAGCCCGCUCCGCCUCGAGGUCUUCGAGGGCCAUCUUCUUUGCCUCCUCCGCGGCGCUCCUGGCAACCCCGCUGUUCACACACUCCACCUUCAUCCUCUGGAAGGAUUCUCGGAUGGAGUCUAGGUCGGCCCUGAGGAGGCCCUUCUCCUUGUCUAGGUUAGCAACGGUGUUCUUAUAGGACAGGGCCUCCUCCCGGGCUUUGGACGCGGCUUCCUCGACCGUCAUGGCCCGCUCCCUCAGUAGCGCAGCCUCUUCCACAGCCUUCCUUGAGGCCUCUCGAGCCUCGACCAGGGCAGCCUCCCUCCCCUUCUUCUCCUCCUCGAGUGCCAAGACCUCUUUAUAAGCCUUGAGGAGUUUCUCCUGUGACUCCAGGAGUUGGUCCUUGAGGAUCGGGAGCUGCUCCCAGCCGCCUCUCGUGGCGUGGAUGAAGCUCGACUUAAUACGAGAGGUCUCUUUCAGGUCCUGCGAGCCGAUGGUCGAGCAACUAGAACACAAAACCAAAUGCUCUAUAAGGAUUAAGGGCUGCAAAACAUUUACAAAGUAAGCCGGUGCGAGCCCGUUGUUAACCACAUCAAAUAGGAGCCCCACCAUGUGCUUCAUCCACAGGCGAAGCUCCUCGACAUGCUCCCACUUCUCCGCCUCCUUCCGGUCGUCCAAAAAGAUGUUGGGUUCGGACGGGUCAAUGGAAGCCCGGAUGCGGAUCCGGUCGGGACGCCAAUUCUCCAUCUCCUGGUCGGCGCGCGCCUUGACGCCUCGGAUGAGCUCCUCGACGGUUUCGAGAGACCCCCCGUGGCGCAGGAACAGGUCGACGAGAGAGGGGAACCGCCCGUCGUCAUCCACCAUCUUCCACGUCCCAGUCUUGCUCCCACCACCGCCUUCCAACGUCCCGAUCUCAUCUUCCUCGGAGGGGACGCGCUCCUCCCACGAUCGACGCCCCCAGAGGAACCCCGGAGCGAUCCCGUCCAUACUGUAGAUCGUCCUCCUGAUCUCAGAAUCGGGGUCGGCGGGAGUACGCAUCAUACAGGCGAGCGCCACUACGCCGUCCGCCCGCCCUGACUCUGCUGGGAUCGCGGCAGGCGCCCCCAGACGGAGCCACGCUGGGGUCGGAUGUCCAAAAGCUGGCAGGCCCUCCUCCUAGUUUCCAGGCUCAUGCGGCGCUACCGGCUCCGGUUGGGGCAGAUCAAGCGGCUUCGCCAGCUGCUGGCCCCCCUGCUGCUGCUGCUCUUGGAGCUCCUGCGGCUCCUGUCGAUGGUCCUGCUCCUGCGGCUACCACCGCGUCUCCUGCUUGCGCUCCUCCUCCUCUUUCUUCCUCUGCUCCUCAAUAGAGCGAAGCCCGGUGGGCCAGGGCGUCCGUCUCGCGAUGGGAGAGGCGUCGACCUCCUCAUCCAUAGGGCGGCCGUCACUUAUAGUGAUCGGAUCCGCCUCAACCCCCGAUCGGGGAGGCUCGGGGGCUCCCUCUUGCCCUUUUGCCCUUGGGGCUGAGGCGCCUUGGCCCGUUUUGGCGACGACGGGGUAGACUCACCCGCCAGGGGAUGGGGCGGGGCACUCUCGGCGCCAGUCGGUGGUCGAGGGUCGGAGGAGCCUAUAAAAUGAAAAACAAAGGUCAGUCUUUGUGGUGGUCGACGUAAGAACAACACAAAUCCCAUAACAAUGGAAUAAGCAACUAACCUGAAUCCUUGGAGGCCGCUCCCACCUUGAGCCUUUUCGCCAUUGAAGGCUGGGCCGGCUCAAGCGUCCGCUUCAACCCGAGGAAAAAGAAACGGGCAGAAGGGAGACCGUUAUACAAGAAAACACAAAAGAAGCAGGAGAAUGAGAAUCACAGCGUCGAAGAACUUACCCCAUACGGAGCACGGCCCGCCUGCCGGUGCCUCGAACGGCAGGCCUCGGGCCACCCCGCGUCAAGGCUCCAGGCCCCUCGCGGGCAGGCGCAGGCCUUGGCCCAGCGUCUCCCACCUGGCGAGCGCCGGGGCUAGCGCUCCUGCGGCCAGUCUCUCCCUUUUCGGAGGCCACGGCACGGCCAGGGGUCAAUGGCCCCGUCGCCUGGGGCUUAGCUCGGCCACCCGCCUUUGGUGCAGGGGGAGGUUGGGGGCGUGGGGCGGCCCGACUCGGCGCGGGCGCGGGAGGGGUGUCAGCGCGGAGGCGGUGAGAUCCGCCUGGCCCCUCCUUUGGUGCUCCCGUCCGGAGGGUGUUGGGUAUUCUUAACAUCAUUACCAAAAGUAGACUAAGUUGUAAAUCUAGCAACGGUGCCAAAAAUGCCAAACCUAUCCCUCACACCACUAAAGCCAAGUUGUCAUCCCCAGCAUGACAUGAGAGACGCGGUAUUGAAAUAUGCAAUUGCUCUUCUAAAUAAAUAAUGAAUGGGAUCUGCAAGCGCACAGAUUAAUACCGAUGCAGCAUUUUAACCGGGAAGUAUUCUAGGUAUCGUUAUUUAUAUUUUUACCACUGGGAAGGGAUUAAUCAAUCAUCACUAUUGAUUACAGAAUAGAAUAUGAGAUUGAGUAUCUAUCAUUGCAUGUAUAAUUGAGAACAUUAUAUCUAACUCUUCAUACAGGGAUAAGUGUCACAUAAAAGAUAUAGGAAAUGAUAAUAGUGACAAGGAUAACUAAUCUGAUCUAGCCACAUAAUAAAUAUGAUAAGCACCUCAAUUAGAUACUCUAGAAAGUCAUUAGCAUGGUAUUAGAACGAACUACAAGAAUAUUCCCUAAGUUAUUCUUAACUAUAUAGUCUAGCAUAUCAUAGUUAGUGCAAGCAUACUUAGCAAUCAUUGCGAGACAAGACUAAGCCCAUGCAUAUUUAUAUUAGCAAGGAAUAUGAGAAAAACAUAGCAAUCACUCCCCUGUAAUAAUGUUGCUCUGCCAGCCCAAUACACAAGAGGGGGACUAUAUAAGAAUCAAAGAAGCUGUCACUAUCACGAACUACCCCACGAUCUGGCAUAUUGGGUACAAUCGCAGAUAAAUACGGUAUAAGCACCACGCCUACACAAUAUCUAUCAUUUACCCAUGGAUCCGAUGGAUAAACGCUAUACGAUCCUAAGCAUGUAUAUAGAUCGUAUCUAACUAAGCCAAGUACAUAACUAUGAUAAACUAGGAACAAUAUAAUCUUGAAUAUAAGCAAGUAGAGCAAAGUCAUAAGCAAUAUAUUGAAGUAGAACAAAGUCAUAUUCAUAAUAUUGAAGAACAAAGAUAAUUAGAAAGCAAUUAGAAGCACAAUUAGAGAAUUACCAAGAAUCCUCCUGACAGAUCCGGAAACCAAUCGAAGAUUGACUCCUUCUAGUUCUAAUCCUAUGUAGCUAUGCUAAUCUAGAUAUCUAAUUGAUGUGGUGGCUCUAAUCUUGAUCAGAGGCUUCUUCUCCCUUGAUGGAACAAUGAAUUAGGGUUGAGAGGCUCUCUCCUCCAGGGGCCAGGGGGUCUGGUUUUAUAGUCCCUUCAAGUGAAUAUGGGCCCUUGGAUCAAACCGACAUAGAAUGUAUGGUUUAGAUUCAUCCUUUAGGUCGGUGGCGACUUCCCGCAAAGCAGAGUCCUGAUUGGACUCCAGAGGUGGGCGGGCGCCCUGACCAACUGGGCGGCCGCCCAGGGUCUGGCCCCGUUUUGCCUCCGCUUCGGUCUCGUGGCUUCUGGAGUCUUCUAGAUGUAAGAUAAUUGCGCAGCACGUUAAUAUCUUUACGUAAUCCUGACAUGUGGGCCUUUCUUCCAUAUUUCCUGAUAACCCCCUGCAGAAAUAGACAAACACCAAACCUCGUGGAAUUCUGUCAGAUAAAACCCUAAGUCUAGAUCUUUAUUUCAUUUGGAUCCUUUUCUUUGUUUAUUUGUUAAUUAAAUUUGAUACUUAAGGACCGUCAACAAACUCCCCCAAGCAUACCUCUUGCUCGUCCCUGAGCAAGGAUAGACUCAGCUAUGGAUCAGAAGUUGCUGCAAUAUCUUUAAAAAUUUGACGGUACACAUGCUCUUAAAUAAGAUCUCAUCUCUGAGUUAGGGUAAACUGUCAAGACUUAAAACUUACUUACUUUACCUACACCAUGGGACUUGUAACUGUCACUUCUGUCUUGAGUGGUUAAAAGAUAGAACAGUCUAGCCAAGUGCUAUGUCUCUUAUUCUUUAUCAGCUAUAGCUCUGGGGUUUUUGCAGAUUUUCAAAUAAAACUCAGAAUUCCUUGUAUGAUUCUCUCAGGUCUCUCUUUUGUGGUAUUUUUGGAUCCUUACCAAGGCAUUGAUAGUAUAUGCCUUCUCUCAAGAUAUGUGGUAUUUGUGGUAUGAGGCAUAGUAACAUUGCCUUCUCUCUCAUCCUACUCUAAUAAGGCUUUAAUAUCUGGAGCUCAUAGGUGGGAGAUAAAAUAUACAUACUUACAAGACAUGUAUUGCAUAGUCAAACCAUGGAUCCAAAGUAACAAGUCAAUAAGUUUAAUCAAGAUGUGCAUGUGUGGCGAAUGAAUGGUAUAUGGUGAUGAUGGUGAUAACAAUGGUGAAAACAAUGGUGAAAACAAUGGUGGUGAAAGUCUAAUUCUACUUUGCUCUUCUGAGGGGAUACAUACCUUCCUUGCUUUUGAAACUUUAUGAGGAGAAUGAGAUGCUCUUCUUUUUCUUUUCUCUCAGGUGGGUAUCUUGUACCCCUAAUUCAACUGUCGGAUACUUGUCCAUUUUUACCUCUCGUCUCACUUUUUUCUUUUCUUUCGAGGUUCCGAGCACUUGCUCCUUUUUAUUUCCUCGUAUUAUUCUUCUCUCUUUUUUUUUAGAGCACUCAUCUCUUGAGAUAAUAUAGCAAGUGGUAGUAACAAGAUAACUUGAGAAUUUAUUUCACAAACAGAAAAUAUUUUUGGUUAUUCUCUCCCGGAUUAGGAGUAGAAUAUUUUCAGGUGGUUCUGGAGAUGGAAUGGGUGGAUAUAUGUGGAUGGUACUUCCGGAGUAGAAGUAGCAUAUAUGAGUGAACGUGCAAGUGAAAUCUUGAUUUAACCACAUGACAAGCUCCUAAGGGUCUACACAGCUUGACCACACUCAAUGCUCAUAAGCAGUAAAUAAUAAAUGUGUGGCUCAAGGUCUAGCAAGCAUGUAUAUAUGGCUGUGGUAGGAAUUUAAGCUCUCAUCAUACAGGAACUCAUCAUGUAAUAUUUUAAAGAUUUUCAAAGAUAAAUUCUCUAGAAUUCUAGCAUCUCUAGGAACAGAUAAACAGCAGCUCAACCUUCCUAUAUCGUAUCCGUUAACAACUUAGACUUCAGAUCAAGUUUUCCUCCAACAAGUUUAGGUCUAGGGCAAGCUUUAAAUUAUAACAGUUAUGUCUAAACUUGAGAGAGAACUUAAAAUGUGCAAAUUAGGCAGAGCAACUAUUCAUUAUAUCCAUACUUAAGUUUUAUUAGAUACAGAUUAGCAUAGCCACUUUAUUUAUUAAUUAAACACACUAAGUAAUACUCCCUCCGUCCCAAAUUAUAAGUCAUUCCAAGAAUCUUGGAGAGUCAAAUUUUUUCAAGUUUGACCAAAUUUAUAUAGCAAAAUAAUAAGAUUUUUUGUAGCAACCAAGUAUCAUUAGAUUCUUUGUUAGUUAUAUUUUCAUAGUGUACCCAUUUUAUGACAUAAAUCUUUAUAUUUCUCUCUAUAUUUUUGGUCAAACUUGGAAAUGCUUUGACUCUCCAAGAUUCUUGGAAUGACUUAUAAUUUGGAACGGAUGGAGUAUAUAUAAGCAUAAAAUCUUUAUUUGGUUUUCCCAUAGUUUAUGUGUAUUAAUAUUCUAAAAUAAUAUAAAUAUAAAGAUAGAUAGAUAGAAAUAUUUAUCGAGAUAAAUGGGGGUGCUCUCUCCCAAGCUGAAUUUUGACGUAAUUUCUCUUGAUGUAGCUAGCAGGUGGCAGAGGUGUAUUUGAAAGCAGCAUUCUGACAGCGAUUAGAAUGUCCUCUGUCUGCUAGUCUUCUUGAUUUUUAAAUUCUGUGGAGCUCAAAUAGACAACAAAGCUUGUGGAACUGAUUAAGUGUUAGCAUAAAUAUCUAGCCUUUAUCAUCUUGAGACUCCUUAAUUAUUACUCCCUGUUUUUAUAUUUAUAUUUUUAUUUUUAUAAAGCAGAAAAAAUAUUUAUUUUAUUUUUAUGCCACCACAGUGAAUGUACGUAUGGGUUUUUAUGCCACUCGUCUACUCACAUGGGGCUUACUGUUUUUCACAUUUUUAUUUUCUUUUAUUUUUUUAGAUAGUAUGAAUAUGAUUAACUAAGUAAACUAUUUAAAAUAAUUGAAAGGGAAAGGAUAACUACCAAGUUUACCUCUUGGCAAGGCGUUCGGUGUUUUCAAGUCCUCCGAACGGGACUCUCCAAUUUCUUAAUCGUCCUGAGGUUCGUUGGGUGGCGUAGUCGGUACUUCCGGCAGCGCCUCCUCUUCUUGUAUAGUUAUCUUCAUUUUCCACACCUGACUCGGUGCUUCAAUCUCCUCUGGAUAAUUCUGUUUAAACUCUACGUCUUCUGACCUUACAACUUCUCCUUCAUAGUCUGCCCAUCCGUCCUUAAUGAUCUACCUCCUCUGGUUGCGGUUGCGUCGUUUUCUUGCCUGCUUAGAUUCUUCAAUGAUAUAGUUAGGGUCAGUAAAAUAACAGCGUACCUUCUCUGAGGGGAAGUGCAUAUGGACUUCUCCGGUUCCAAUGUAGAUAAUGGCUUUAACGGUGCUGAGGAACGGUCUUCCAAGGAUGAUGAGUGGAUCAUACUCGUCUUCUCCCAUGUCAACAACUUGAAAGUCUGUGU
rnacentral:lncRNA from 1 species